rnacentral:lncRNA from 1 species
UCCUAAUGGACCGCGUAAAAAAUUGCAUUAUUUAUUUUAAUAAAUUUAUAAUUGCGAGAAUUACAUAAAAUAUACUAAUUAAAUUUGAAAAGAUAAAUAAUGGAUUCAAAUUUUAAAGUCAAAGUAACGUUGAGUAACUCAAAUCAAACAAAUUAAUUAAAAAGUUGAAUAGUAAAAUCAAAGUUUAAAAAGAUCGGAUAGCCGACUCAAAAUGGCCCAUAUCUCAGAUAAGUUCUGUAUGUUUUUGCCUAAAGUUUAUUUCUAAUUAAAGAAUUGAAAGGAGAGUAGACUUUGUUUUUAGA